UACAGAGGUCUCAAGCGUUGUUCGGAUUCAUUGGGCGUAAAGGGUGCGUAGGCGGCGCGGUAAGUCGGGUGUGAAAUCUCGGAGCUUAACUCCGAAACUGCAUUCGAUACUGCCGUGCUUGAGGACUGGAGAGGAGACUGGAAUUUACGGUGUAGCGGUGAAAUGCGUAGAUAUCGUAAGGAAGACCAGUGGCGAAGGCGGGUCUCUGGACAGUUCCUGACGCUGAGGCACGAAAGCGGUGGGGAGCAAACAGGG
rnacentral:rRNA from 1 species